GCCACCCAGCAGUGAUAAGUAGUACUUUAAAGAAUUUUUACUUACAGUGCAUUCGGAAAGAUAUCAGACCCCUUGACUUUUUCCACAUUUUGUUACGUUACAGCCUUAUUUCAAAAUGGAUGAAAUCGUUUUCCCCCCUCAUCAAUCUACACACUGUACCCCAUAAUGACAAAGCGAAAACAGGUUUUUAGACAUUCCUGCAAAUGUAUUAAAAAUGUAUCAGGUAUUUCAGUUUUUUAUUUUUAAUACAUUUGCAAAACAUUUCUAAAACCCUGGUUUUGCUUUGUCAUUAUGGGGUAUUGUGUGUAGAUUGAUGAAGGAUUUAAAAAAAAAAUACAUUUUAGAAUAAGGCUGUAAUGUAACAAAAUGUGGAAAAAGUCAAGGCUUCUGAAUACUUUCCAAAUGCACUGUAAUUUUUUUUUUUUGGGGGGGGGGGGUAUCUGUACGUUACUUUAUUAUUUAUAUUUUUGACAACUUUUACUUAACUACAUAACUAAAGAAAAUAAUAUGGUUUUUACUCCAUCCAUUUAACCUGACACCCAAAAGUACUCAUUACAUUUUGAAUGCUAAGCAGGAAAGAAAAUGGUCCAAUUCACGCACGCACUUAUCAAGAGAACAUCUCUGGUCCUCCUAACUGCAGUGCUACUCCAAUUUCCUCUGGUUGUCCCAAGGUCCAUUGGAGAAUGCUGCUGAUAGGGCAGACCAUAACCUGUUGUGGACCAUGCAAGUACUUUUUGGGAGCUAGCUAUUUGUUUUUCUUACACGGUGGUGGUGGAGCAGAGAACCUGGCGGCUGACUGGCGCCUGUGUCGCGGCUCUUUACUUUACCUGCCCUGCACGCAUAAGGCUGUCCCCGGAGGAGACUCAGGGCAGGUGGCUCACCCCCCAGGCUACCCACCACCCUGUCUUCACCCUGCUGGCCCGCCUGGAUCUGUCCCUGCUGCCCUACCUCUCCAUGUCUCCGGCCCACAGCGUCAACCUAUUGAGCAGCCUGCCAGGGCCACUGUCUGCAGACUGGCAGACCCGGGGCCAGGUGCGGUGCUGGCUGGGGGGUGUUUGCUGUGUCCAGGCCCAGCUGACAGUGGUCGGUGGUGGCCGAGGUCUUCUCCCUCAACCUCUUCGUUGGGCUCUUCUCCCUGA
rnacentral:lncRNA from 8 species